rnacentral:rRNA from 1 species
GACGAACGCUGGCGGCGUGCCUAACACAUGCAAGUCGAACGGGGUUGAGGUCUUCGGACCUUAACUUAGUGGCGAACGGGUGAGUAACGCGUGAGAAACCUGCCUUUCAGUGGGGGACAACAGUUGGAAACGACUGCUAAUACCGCAUAAUGUUAUUUGGGGGCAUCCCUGAAUAACCAAAGCUUUAUGUGCUGAAAGAUGGUCUCGCGUCUGAUUAGCUAGAUGGCGGGGUAACGGCCCACCAUGGCGACGAUCAGUAGCCGGUCUGAGAGGAUGAACGGCCACAUUGGGACUGAGAUACGGCCCAGACUCCUACGGGAGGCAGCAGUGGGGAAUAUUGGGCAAUGGGGGAAACCCUGACCCAGCAACGCCGCGUGAGGGAAGAAGGUUUUCGGAUUGUAAACCUCUGUCCUUGGUGACGAAGGAAGUGACGGUAGCCAAGGAGGAAGCCCCGGCUAACUACGUG